CCCUACGGGGUGCAGCAGGCGAGAAAACUUUGCAAUGUGCGAAAGCACGACAAGGUUAAUCCGAGUGUUUUCUGCUAAAGAAAUCUUUUGUCAGUCCUAAAAACACUGAUGAAUAAGGGGUGGGCAAGUUCUGGUGUCAGCCGCCGCGGUAAAACCAGCACCUCAAGUGGUCAGGAGGAUUAUUGGGCCUAAAGCAUCCGUAGCCUGCUUUGUAAGUUUUCGGUUAAAUCCAUGUGCUCAACAUAUGGGCUGCCGGGAAUACUGCACAGCUAGGGAGUGGGAGAGGUAGACGGUACUCGGUAGGAAGGGGUAAAAUCCUUUGAUCUAUUGAUGACCACCUGUGGCGAAGGCGGUCUACCAGAACACGUCCGACGGUGAGGGAUGAAAGCUGGGGGAGCAAACCGGAUUAGAUACCCGGGUAGUCCCAGCUGUAAACUAUGCAAACUCAGUGAUGCGUUGGCUUGUAGCCAGUGCAGUGCCGCAGGGAAGCCGUUAAGUUUGCCGCCUGGGAAGUACGUACGCAAGUAUGAAACUUAAAGGAAUUGGCGGGGGAGCACCACAAGGGGUGAAGCCUGCGGUUCAAUUGGAGUCAACGCCAGAAGUCUUACCCGGAGAGACAGCAGAAUGAAGGUCAAGCUGAAGACUUUACCAGACAAGCUGAGAAGAAGUGCAUGGCC
rnacentral:rRNA from 1 species